rnacentral:rRNA from 1 species
AACGAACGCUGGCGGCAUGCCUAACACAUGCAAGUCGAACGGGACCUUCGGGUCUAGUGGCGCACGGGUGCGUAACGCGUGGGAACCUGCCCUUAGGUUCGGAAUAACUCCCCGAAAGGGGUGCUAAUACCGGAUAAUGUCUUCGGACCAAAGAUUUAUCGCCUUUGGAUGGGCCCGCGUUGGAUUAGCUAGUUGGUAGGGUAAAAGCCUACCAAGGCGACGAUCCAUAGCUGGUCUGAGAGGAUGAUCAGCCACACUGGGACUGAGACACGGCCCAGACUCCUACGGGAGGCAGCAGUGGGGAAUAUUGGACAAUGGGCGAAAGCCUGAUCCAGCAAUGCCGCGUGAGCGAUGAAGGCCUUAGGGUUGUAAAGCUCUUUUACCCGGGAUGAUAAUGACAGUACCGGGAGAAUAAGCUCCGGCUAACUCCGUG